GCUCAGGAUGAACGCUAGCUACAGGCUUAACACAUGCAAGUCGAGGGGUAGCAGGGUAGCAAUACCGCUGACGACCGGCGCACGGGUGAGUAACACGUAUCCAACCUUCCCAUUACUCGGGGAUAGCCUUUCGAAAGAAAGAUUAAUACCCGAUAGUACUUUUUUGAGGCAUCUUAAGAAAGUUAAAGAUUUAUUGGUGAUGGAUGGGGAUGCGUUCCAUUAGAUUGUUGGUGAGGUAACGGCUCACCAAGUCUUCGAUGGAUAGGGGUUCUGAGAGGAAGGUCCCCCACAUUGGUACUGAGACACGGACCAAACUCCUACGGGAGGCAGCAGUGAG
rnacentral:rRNA from 1 species